AUCAAUUCUGAGCUGGUUCUAUACCCCCACUGAAGAGGAAGGAUGGAUCAAUUUUAAGUGGAUUGAAGCCUGCACUAGACAGCAUCCAAAGUUUUGGUGUCUUCCUGAGUCCUGUCUUUCUUCUCAAGGACGUUCUGAACAUGUGAAACCUGAGGACUGCAAGUAGCUCUAAGCAGCUUCACAUUCAGCAGAUCUUUCCUUUUGAGAAUCUGGAUAAACUCCAAAUAAUCUAAGAUGAUGGCUUGCAGGCCACCUGGAAAAAAAAAAGAUCUUCCUCUGAAGAAUAGGCUUGUUGCUCUACAGUGUUAGUGACCCAUUCCCUUUGACGAUCCCUAGGUGGAGAUGGGGCAUGAGGAUCCUCCAGGGGAAAAGCUCACUAUCACUGGGCAACAACCCUAGGCUAGGAGGCUUUACCAAGAUUCUUUCCUGAGCCCAGGUAGGAAGAUGAAGUCUCACAACAACCACCACACAUCAGAGGUGGCUCCUGAUUGUUCCCUUCUUAUCUGCCAAAUCAUUGUAUCCCCAAAACAAUGCAGAGAGCAAGAAAUUUGAACACAUCAAAGGAAGAUCAACAUGCCUGGCAUGCUAACAUUUUAGAACAGCAGAAUGAAUGUGUAUUUCUUUGUCUAUUUUUUUUCUUGAAUCUCUUUGGUUUUCCUUCUCUGUCUAAAGUGUGUCUCAGCCAUUCCAUGAUUCUCUUGUUAGUUUCUUCUCUGUGUAUCUUUGUCUCAUUUUCUUGUUCCUAAGAGUUGUCUGUGCCUUGUCUUGGAUGUCUCUCUCCAGUUUUUUCAUUUUGUUAGUGAUUCUCUUUGUUCUCCUAGAUCUGGCUCUUCUUUCACUGUUCUUUCCUUUGUGUCUCUGUGUCACAUGAUGUGUGCUUUCUGUUCAUUUCUUGUUCUGCCUAUACCUCUCUUCUUGUUCUGUUGUGAACUCUGAUUUUUUGUCUUCCCUUACCCUUAUUGGUUUCACAUUUCACCUUUUUCUCAUUCUGCCUUCCCUUCUACUUUUUAUACUCAUUAUCUCAAAUUUCUGUGUCUCUUGGGCCAUUUUCUCUCUAUUUUGUCCUGCUUUGUCUCAGUGUCUCUUUUUCUCUCUGUUUUUUUUUCUGCUCUGUCUCAGUGUCUCCUUGCUCUUUGUGAUUUUUCCAUUUCAGCAUUCAUCUCUGUUCUCUUGUUUCUUCUCUGCUUUUCCCCUUCUACUCACCUUUGAGUAUUUCAGCCUCUUUGUGAGUCUGUGAUUCCCCCUCUUUGACUUUAUGCAGUCCUCUAUCCUUGCAUAUUUUUGUGCAUUUGUAUGAUCAUGUGUGUGUCUUUGUGACAAAGGGGCUUCCUAACCCCUUCCCAAUAGGUACAGUGUGUCAACUAUCAAAAUACACAUUGCAGAGCUGUUCGUUAUGCCAGGACACCCUGUGAGAUGACCCAAGACCUAUGAUGGACAGAAAGUGGAAGGCCCAUAAUGGAGAGAAGGCCCAAAGUAAAAGACAGAUGGUUUGAGACUUGAGACCUAAAGACAAAAAUGGAAAACCUGUCUCAAGAUAGAUGGAAACUUCAAGCUUGAGACCAUCCAAAGUCCUGACAACCAUGAUGUAAAAAGGUGGCCCUUGUUGGAUAGAAGACCUGACUGAGUUGGAUGGAAAGUUCAAGACUUGAGUUAGAUAGAAGUCCAAAGACCCAGAGUAGGAGACUGAAGGCCUAAGAAUGGGGACCCAUCGAAAGCCUGAGACAUAAGACACCAUGUCUAAGACCUGAGAUAAAAACUUUAGCUUGAAGAUCUAAGAUCCAAGGAUGGAAGGCCCCAGACACACAUAAAGACCCAGGACUCCAGCCUCUAGAUGGACAGAAGGUCAAAGAGAGAAAUCUAUCUCAAGGCUAAAUUAGGUGGGAAGCUAGACACCCAUGACACAGAAUCCAAGAAGGAUAGAAGCCCCAAGACCAAAGGAAAUCCCAAGAUGAGAACGCUAAACCCCAGCUUUUUUCUAUUGCCAUCCUUCCUACUCUUGGACAUUUUCAGUUCUCCCUUGACAGUUCUUAUGUUUCCAUUUAAGCCCACUUUUUUGAGAUGCCCUUUUAGAUGUUGCCAUUACCUUAAGGAAACAUAUCUUUACAUUGGCAAUAUUAUGCUUGGUCCAGUCUUAAGCCAAUUUUUAUCACAGUUUUGGGCCAUUUAUUGUUUGUUUUUUAAAUUUCCAUUUGUCUUUGCCUCCAAUUCACAUGAGAGAGACAUAUAGGUAACAUUGUAUUUCAGUUGUCCCUUUUCUUUAGGAGCUAUAGGCUGAUGAGCAAAGGCAAGCAUCAGGCUGUUGUGGGAAAAAAGGUGCUAGGCUAUUUAGAGAAAAUGUGAAGAGAUGUUCCAGGCCAAUGAGAAGAAUUAGACAAGAAAUACCCAGAUGUGCCAGACUGUUGAAGCACCAGCCAGAAAUACCUUACUUCUUUGAGCUUGGUUCCUGACAUCCUAAGACUACUGCUAUUGAUAAGAAUAAGAACAUACUAUCAUCUGAAUUUUUAUGGCAUAAAUGAAAUUAUGAACAAAUACAUUUUUAAAGGAAAUGGCUUCAUCUCUACCCUUCUGCCUAAAAGGGAAUCUAUGCCAAAUGUUCCAAUAAAUGGGAAGAUACACUUUGACUUGUGAACUGAUGUGAAAAUGCAGAAUCUUUGAUUUUUGAGUGUUUUGAAGAUUGAAAAAUCUUGCUCAGCAUGGGUGACCACCAAAAGCAAUCUAAAGCUAUCGACAUGUCACAACUGAGACAAAUUGGGGAAUGUGUUGUCUAAUGUGAAAUAAAAUGUACUGUUUUGAAAA